GUAGGGAAUAUUGGACAAUGGGGGCAACCCUGAUCCAGCGACGCCGCGUGAGUGACGAAGGCCUUCGGGUCGUAAAGCUCUGUUGCAAGGGAAAAACAAAAUGAUGGUACCUUGCUAGAAAGGAUCGGCUAACUUCGUGCCAGCAGCCGCGGUAAGACGAGGGAUCCUAGCGUUGUUCGGAAUUAUUGGGCGUAAAGCGGGUGUAGGUGGCUUUGUAAGUCAGGUGUGAAAGCCUGGGGCUUAACCCCAGAAGUGCAUUUGAUACUGCGAAGCUUGAGUGCUGGAGAGGCUACUAGAAUUCUUGGUGUAGUAGUGAAAUACGUAGAUAUCAAGAGGAAUACCGGAGGCGAAGGCGGGUAGCUGGCCAGACACUGACACUCAGACCCGAAAGCGUGGGGAUCAAACAGGAUUAGAUACCCCUGUAGUCC
rnacentral:rRNA from 1 species